rnacentral:rRNA from 1 species
GAGGAAGGUGGGGAUGACGUCAAGUCCUCAUGGCCCUUAUGUCCUGGGCUACACACGUGCUACAAUGGCGGUGACAGUGGGAAGCCAGGCAGCGAUGCCGAGCUGAUCCUCAAAAGCCGUCUCAGUUCGGAUUGUACUCUGCAACUCGAGUGCGUGAAGGUGGAAUCGCUAGUAAUCGCGGAUCAGCAUGCCGCGGUGAAUACGUUCCCGGGCCUUGUACACACCGCCCGUCACACCAUGGGAUUUGGUUUGACCUUAAGUUGGUGCGCUAACCCGCAAGGGAGGCAGCCAACCACGGUCGGGUUAGAGACUGGGGUGAAGUCGUAACAAGGUAGCCGUAA